CCAGAGCCCAGCCGACUGAUGGAGCAGGAAGGAGGGAAGGAGGGAGUCAACAGCCCAGAGCCCAGCCGACUGAUGGAGCAGGAAGGAGGGAAGGAGGGAGUCAACAGCCCAGAGCCCAGCCGACUGAUGGAGCAGGGAAGGAGGGAAGGAGGGAGUCAACAGCCCAGAGCCCAGCCGACUGACGGUGCAGGAAGGAGGGAAGGAGGGAGUCAACAGCCCAGAGCCCAGCCGACUGAUGGAGCAGAGAAGGAGGGAAGGAGAGACCCAGAGCCCAGCCGACUGACAGAGCAGAGAAGGAGUGAAGGAGAGAGUCAACAGCCCAGAGCCCAGCCGACUGAUGGAGCAGAGGAAGGAGGGAGUCAACAGCCCAGAGCCCAGCUGACUGAUGGAGCAGGAAGGAGGGAAGGAGGGAGUCAACAGCCCAGAGCC
ensembl:lncRNA